GCAGCCUCCUCCUUUACACUUUCAGAAUCAGACUUAGAAACCGAACCCGAACCCGAACCCGAAACUGAAACUGAAGAAGAAGAUGAAGACGAAGAGGAAGAAGAAGAAGAAGAAGAAGAAGAAGAAGAAGAAGAAGAAGAAGAAGAAGAAGAAGAAGAAGAAGAAGAAGAAGAAGAAGAAGAAGAAGAAGAAGAAGAAGAAGAAGAAGAAGAAGAAGAAGAAGAAGAAGAAGAAGAAGAAGAAGAAGAAGAAGAAGAAGAAGAAGAAGAAGAAGAAGAAGAAGAAGAAGAAGAAGAAGAAGAAGAAGAAGAAGAAGAAGAAGAAGAAGAAGAAGAAGAAGAAGGAGAUGGGGUUACGUCAAUUGAAAAGCCUCCAGUGAAGAGGAAGAGGAAGAGAAGGAGGUACAGAAAGCAAUACCCAGGUG
rnacentral:lncRNA from 1 species